UCGCUUCCCGGAAGCAAGCGUCACGGACUUUACGGCUGGAGGUUUUCCUUCCCUAGUUUCUUAGUCGGAGGGCCUGGUGCCUGAAUAGUUGCGCAUUUGGUUCUGAUGGAGGGAAUUGUUGCGUCUGCGAGGCCCUGUGAUAUUUGUACCAACUGAUGCAGAAGCAAUGGUGGGUGAAACUGCUGGCCUCUUAGCACAAAAUAAAAAGCAUCAGCACCAAACUCAGCAAGUCACCAAAGUGAUCUAGAAGUAAUUUCUUGACUACCAUGCUCUUGCAGUGAAAAAAAAGCGGGAGAGAACCUGUUUCCCAUUGUCUUUGAUGGAGCAGUAAAAAUGUUAUUAAAUGUCA